AAUUAUGUUCUUCUUUUAAUGUACGAAAUAAGUAAAAUAGUUUGGUAUAAAUAAGUAAAACUCUUAGAGCAUCUCUAGUGGCUUGUGCAUGUGGUAGUCUAAAUCAAAUAUAGACUGUCACAGGUCCAAAAACGCCUCCAGCGGUUUGUCUAUUAGCUAGUCUAAAUUAUAGACAUCCAGUAAAAUCGCUACCCAUUGUCCAAAUAUACACCACGCAGCGACGACCGAGCGAUCACGAGCAGCUGCUUCUCGCGUCGUCUCUCCCGCACCCAUCUGGAGCAGAUCGAGACGAGAAGGUCGCCCACCACUGCCCCGAGCUUCCCGCCGUCGAUGAGAUGGAGAACUUAAAUGAGAUGGACUCACAGCUCAACAACUCCUCAUUUCUAGACAUGAUGAAUGUGGGAUCGAGUGACAUAAAUUGGAUUGAAACAUCAAAUUGCAGCCCAAUCAGGGAACAAGUAAGGAUGCCAACUAAUUUUUUUGACAAAAGGAGCCUCCACAAAAGGGAAAAUUUGGUCAAGAGGGGGGUGAGGAGGCCGACGGCGCUGGGAACUGCACAGGCAGCAGCAGGGGAUCGCACACGCACAGGCAGCAGCAGGGGAUCGCACACGCACAGGCAGCAGUAGUUACAACCAGAACUCAAAUGAAUUUGCUGCCAAUUGCUUCCUACUGAAUUAUUGUUUGUGUAUUA